rnacentral:rRNA from 1 species
GUCGUAACAAGGUUUCCGUAGGUGAACCUGCGGAAGGAUCAUUAUUGAAUAAACUUAGUUGGGUUGUUGCUGGUUCUUAGGGACAUGUGCACACCUGGCAAAUGUUUUUAACCACCUGUGCACCUUUUGUAGAUCUGAAAUACUUCUUGAGGAAACUCAGUUUGAGGAUUGCUGUGUGAAAACCAGCUUUCCUUGCAUUUCAGGUCUAUGUUUUAUAUAUACUCCAAAAGCAAGUAAUAGAAUGUUAUUAUAUUGGCCUUUGAGCCUUUAAACAAAUACAACUUUCAACAACGGAUCUCUUGGCUCUCGCAUCGAUGAAGAACGCAGCGAAAUGCGAUAAGUAAUGUGAAUUGCAGAAUUCAGUGAAUCAUCGAAUCUUUGAACGCACCUUGCGCUCCUUGGUAUUCCGAGGAGCAUGCCUGUUUGAGUGUCAUGAAAUUCUCAACCUUUCUGGUUUUUAUUAACUAGUUUGGCUUGGAUUGUGGGAGUUGCUGGCUUCUAAGAAGUCAGCUCUUCUUAAAUGCAUUAGCAAAAUCUUUGCUGACCAUCCUUUGGUGUGAUAAUUAUCUACGUCAUUGAGAAUCAGCUUUUGUAGAUUUAGCUUCUAAUCGUCUUUCUUGAGACAACUUAUGACAAUUUGACCUCAAAUCAGGUAGGACUACCCGCUGAACUUAAGCAUAUCAAUAAGCGGAGGAAAAGAACUACAGGAUCCCCCUAGUAACUGCGAGUGAAGCGGGAAAAGCUCAAUUUAAAUCUGGUAGUCUUGGCUGCCCGAGUUGUAU